rnacentral:rRNA from 1 species
AGCGUAGGCGGUUCGUCGCGUCCGGUGUGAAAGUCCAUCGCUUAACGGUGGAUCUGCGCCGGGUACGGGCGGGCUGGAGUGCGGUAGGGGAGACUGGAAUUCCCGGUGUAACGGUGGAAUGUGUAGAUAUCGGGAAGAACACCAAUGGCGAAGGCAGGUCUCUGGGCCGUUACUGACGCUGAGGAGCGAAAGCGUGGGGAGCAAACA